rnacentral:lncRNA from 1 species
AACCAGAAAGAGAAGGAGAUCCUGCCAUGACUGAGCCUGGAGGGCAUUCUGCUGAGUAAAACAUCCAGCAUGGGAGCCAGGGAGCAGAACAGUGGCUCCCAGGGACAGGGGCGGCAGCCCUGAGGUGGAGAGAGGCUGGCACGUGAAUUUUUCAAGUUGACAUCAUCUCUUGAAUUCGUGGAAUAUCAGAUAUGGGAGUUCUUUACUGAUUAAAGCUUUGACAUGUAGAUUCUCUUAAGGACAUUUGUCCCUGAAUGCAUUUCGGAUUUCACCAGCCAAUCGCAUGUGUUCCUCCAGCCUCUGCCUCCCUGCAGUUCCGGUUCCGGUUCCCAGCAGAGCUGAUCUUGAAUCUCCUGCUGCAAAGGGAAUCUGCUUCCUACCUCCCGGGCACAGGAGAUGAUGGGGAUGGACUUGCCCAGAGCCAAUUGAUCCAGUCAUCAAACAUAUUUGUCACUUGUUUGUUAGAGAGGCUGCCUCCGACCCCAGUCACCUCUGUGCUCAAGCAAGACGAAAAGACUCUGAGUAUCUCUUCAGCGUUUCUCACACGUCUCCUUGGAAGACAGAGAGCCUGCUUGUUCCUGGAAUCCCAUUUCCCUUCCUGCCCCUUCAGCUGUCGCCUCCCGACCCCUGCAUUGUGUCGCAUCUCAAAACAAAGAAACAUCUACAUUUAUCGAAUACAAGUGCUCCUGCCCAACAAGCAGCCCCCAGGGCCUGGGCAGUUAAGGGAUAGCCCUGCAGGCUGCCCAUAAGGACAGAGCUCCCACUCAGCCCUGACCAGGAAUAGCAGGGACAGGAACCAUGGCCAUCUUCAAUGACUGCCCUGUGCUUUGAAAAAUCACCUUUCAGAAGAAUGCACCAUGGCGAGCACAGUCACUGAGAGCAUUUCUUAGCCCUGACCAGUGAGAGUCGGCAUAUCCUAUCCAAAUCUAUUUUCCAAAAUGG